rnacentral:rRNA from 1 species
AACGGUGUAGCAAUACAUAGUGGCGCACGGGUGCGUAACACGUAUGCAACCAACCUUAUACUUAAGGAUAGCCUUUGGAAACGGAGAUUAAUACUUAAUAGAACAUUAGACUGGCAUCGGUUAUAUGUUAAAGAUUUAUUGGUAUAAGAUGGGCAUGCGUCCAAUUAGUUAGUUGGUGAGGUAACGGCUCACCAAGACGAUGAUUGGUAGGGGAACUGAGAGGUUAAUCCCCCACACUGGCACUGAGAUACGGGCCAGACUCCUACGGGAGGCAGCAGUAGGGAAUAUUGGGCAAUGGAGGCAACUCUGACCCAGCCAUGCCGCGUGCAGGAUGAAGGCGUUAUGCGUUGUAAACUGCUUUUAUAUAGGAAGAAACAGACCUUGCGAGGUAAAUUGACGGUACUAUAUGAAUAAGCACCGGCUAACUCCGUGCCAGCAGCCGCGGUAAUACGGAGGGUGCAAGCGUUGUCCGGAUUUAUUGGGUUUAAAGGGUGCGUAGGCGGUUUAUUAAGUCAGUGGUGAAAGACGGUCGCUCAACGAUUGCAGUGCCAUUGAUACUGGUAGACUUGAGUAUGAUUGAGGUAGCUGGAAUGGAUAGUGUAGCGGUGAAAUGCAUAGAUAUUAUCCAGAACACCAAUUGCGUAGGCAAGUUACU